UACAGAGGUCUCAAGCGUUGUUCGGAUUCAUUGGCGUAAAGGGUGCGUAGGCGGCGCGGUAAGUCGGGUGUGAAAUCGUCGGGCUUAACUCCGAAACUGCAUUCGAUACUGCCGUGCUUGAGGACUGGAGAGGAGACUGGAAUUACGGUGUAGCGGUGAAAUGCGUAGAUAUCGUAAGGAAGACCAGUGGCGAAGGCGGGUCUCCUGGACAGUUCCUGACGCUGAGGCACGAAGGUCAGGGAGCAAACGGG
rnacentral:rRNA from 1 species